rnacentral:rRNA from 2 species
AGUCACCGCGUUGGCCCGUUGUUGAUGGUGUUGACCUGAUUGAUUUGGCGCCAACGAGUGGCGGACGGGUGAGUAAACGUAGGUAACCUGCCCAGAAGCGGGGGACAACAUUUGGAAACAGAUGCUAAUACCGCAUAACAACGUUGUUCGCAUGAACAACGCUUAAAAGAUGGCUUCUCGCUAUCACUUCUGGAUGGACCUGCGGUGCAUUAGCUUGUUGGUGGGGUAACGGCCUACCAAGGCGAUGAUGCAUAGCCGAGUUGAGAGACUGAUCGGCCACAAUGGGACUGAGACACGGCCCAUACUCCUACGGGAGCAAGGCAGUAGGGA